rnacentral:rRNA from 1 species
UACGGAGGGGACUAGCGUUGUUCGGAAUUACUGGGCGUAAAGCGCACGUAGGCGGAUUUGUAAGUCAGGGGUGAAAUCCCGGGGCUCCACCUCGGAACUGCCUUUGAUACUGCAAAUCUCGAGUCCGGAAGAGGUGAGUGGAAUUCCCUAGUGUAGAGGUGAAAUUCGUAGAUAUUAGGAAGAAACACCAGUGGCGAAGGGCGGCUCACUGGUCCGGUACUGACGCUGAGGUGCGAAAGCGUGGGGGAGCAAACAGGG